UACGUAGGGGGCAAGCGUUGUCCGGAUUUAUUGGGCGUAAAGAGCGUGUAGGCGGCCUGAAAGGUCAGCUGUGAAAACUCGAGGCUCAACCUCGAGACGUCGGUUGAAACCAUCUGGCUAGAGUCCGGAAGAGGAGUGUGGAAUUCCCGGUGUAGCGGUGAAAUGCGCAGAUAUCGGGAGGAACACCAGUGGCGAAGGCGGCCUUCUGGACCAGUACUGACGCUCAUGCACGAAAGCAUGGGGAUCAAACAGG
rnacentral:rRNA from 1 species